UACAGAGGGGGCAAGCGUUGUUCGGAAUUACUGGGCGUAAAGGGCGCGUAGGCGGCCUUCUAAGUCGAACGUGAAAUCCCCGGGCUCAACCCGGGAACUGCGUCCGAUACUGGAAGGCUUGAAUCCGGGAGAGGGAUGCGGAAUUCCAGGUGUAGCGGUGAAAUGCGUAGAUAUCGUCAAGAACACCGAUAGCGAAGGCAGCUUACUGGGCUGUAACUGACGCUGAGGCACGAAAGUGUGGGGAUCAAACAGG
rnacentral:rRNA from 1 species